rnacentral:rRNA from 1 species
GACGAACGCUGGCGGCGUGCUUAACACAUGCAAGUCGAACGCUGAAGCUUGGUGCUUGCACUGGGUGGAUGAGUGGCGAACGGGUGAGUAAUACGUGAGUAACCUGCCCUUGACUCUGGGAUAAGCCUGGGAAACUGGGUCUAAUACUGGAUACGACAUGUCACCGCAUGGUGGUGUGUGGAAAGGGUUUUACUGGUUUUGGAUGGGCUCACGGCCUAUCAGCUUGUUGGUGGGGUAAUGGCUCACCAAGGCGACGACGGGUAGCCGGCCUGAGAGGGUGACCGGCCACACUGGGACUGAGACACGGCCCAGACUCCUACGGGAGGCAGAAGUGGGGAAUAUUGCACAAUGGGCGGAAGCCUGAUGCAGCGACGCCGCGUGAGGGAUGACGGCCUUCGGGUUGUAAACCUCUUUCAGCACGGAAGAAGCGAAAGUGACGGUACGUGCAGAAGAAGCGCCGGCUAACUACGUG